UACGUAGGUGGCAAGCGUUAUCCGGAUUUACUGGGUGUAAAGGGCGUGUAGGCGGUUCUGCAAGUCAGAUGUGAAAUCUCCGGGCUUAACCCGGAAGCUGCAUCUGAAACUGCAGAACUUGAGUACUGGAGAGGAUAGUGGAAUUCCUAGUGUAGCGGUAAAAUGCGUAGAUAUUAGGAGGAACACCGGUGGCGAAGGCGGCUUACUGGACUGUAACUGACGCUGAGUCACGAAAGCGUGGGUAGCAAACAGGAUUAGAUACCCUGGUA
rnacentral:rRNA from 1 species